rnacentral:rRNA from 1 species
GGAUCAUUACAGAGUACCGGUGCCCUCUGGGCGCCUACUCCAACCCUUUGUCUACCAUACUUGUUGCUUUGGCGGGCCAGGUGCCCACGCACCGCCGGCUCAGGCUGGAGAGCGCCCGCCAGAGGAUACAAAAACACUGCUCACCGUGUCAUCUGAGUAAAAAAACAAAUGAAUCAAAACUUUCAACAACGGAUCUCUUGGUUCUGGCAUCGAUGAAGAACGCAGCGAAAUGCGAUAAGUAAUGUGAAUUGCAGAAUUCAGUGAAUCAUCGAAUCUUUGAACGCACAUUGCGCCCCUUGGUAUUCCGAGGGGCAUGCCUGUUCGAGCGUCAUUUAACCUCUCAAGCUCUGCUUGGUGUUGGGUGCUGGCCCACCAGGGCCCGCCCGUAACUCGUUGGCGGUUGUCACCGGCUGAAAGCGUAGCAAAAUAUGCUGGAGCCCGGAGGCGGCCUGUCAGGUACCCACAAUCAAGAGUUUGACCUC